UUUGGAUCGGUGAUGAUACUAAAAAAACGCGCUGUCUAUCUGCAACUUCCUCGAAGGAAUUGAUGAGCCGAUGCGGUCUGAGGUCCAAG
rnacentral:snoRNA from 1 species